GACGAACGCUGGCGGCGUGCUUAACACAUGCAAGUCGAACGGAAAGGCCCUGCUUUUGUGGGGUGCUCGAGUGGCGAACGGGUGAGUAACACGUGAGUAACCUGCCCUUGACUUUGGGAUAACUUCAGGAAACUGGGGCUAAUACCGGAUAGGAGCUCCUGCUGCAUGGUGGGGGUGGGAAAGUUUCGGCGGUUGGGGAUGGACUCGCGGCUUAUCAGCUUGUUGGUGGGGUAGUGGCUUACCAAGGCUUUGCCGGGUUGCCGGCCUGAGAGGGUGACCGGCCACAUUGGGACUGAGAUACGGCCCAGACUCCUACGGGAGGCAGCAGUGGGGAAUAUUGUACAAUGGGCGGAAGCCUGAUGCAGCAACGCCGCGUGCGGGAUGACGGCCUUCGGGUUGUAAACCGCUUUCGCCUGUGACGAAGCGUGAGUGACGGUAAUGGGUAAAGAAGCACCGGCUAACUACGUG
rnacentral:rRNA from 1 species